GCGCGUUCCCCUCUGGAGGUUUUGACCUUCACACCUGGCCGGGCCCCGAGUCCGGCCUUUUUCUUGCGCCAG
rnacentral:misc_RNA from 1 species